rnacentral:lncRNA from 1 species
AGUCACGGCAAUGCCGUCGCCGGCUGCAUUCGCCGUCGUCGGCCCUGAAGUCUGCGCCGAUGUAAGGGCUGUAGGCUCCUCCGUCUGCCUAGCAGCCCGAUGCCUUGGCCCUUUAAUGUCGUCGCCGGCCUUCCGCUUGCCCGUCAUCUCGCCUCGGUCGAACAACUUCGGACGAACGAGCCGGAUGACCCUGAUAGGGAGAGGGAGGAAGGAAGGAAGCUACGAUC